UACGAAGGGGGCUAGCGUUGCUCGGAAUUACUGGGCGUAAAGCGCACGUAGGCGGAUUGUUAAGUCGGGGGGUGAAAUCCUGGAGCUCAACUCCAGAACUGCCUUCGAUACUGGCGAUCUCGAGUUCGGGAGAGGUGAGUGGAACUGCGAGUGUAGAGGUGAAAUUCGUAGAUAUCAGGUGGAACACCAGUGGCGAAGGCGGCUUUCUGGACGGUAACUGACGCUGAGGAGCGAAAGCGUGGGGAGCGAACAGG
rnacentral:rRNA from 1 species